ACCACUGGACAACCAUGCCAGACAGGCCAGUUUCUUAGCCUGUCGAGAAGAAUCCCAUGAUCUACUGUGUCGAAUGCAGAGCAGUAGGACUGAGGUUUUGACGUAUGAACACUAUGAAUACUAUAUUUUAAGUCAAUGUGACACAUAGGGUAUUUACGUGUCUUUUCCCACUCAAUAGUAAUAUUAUUCUAUGUGUAUGAAAUUGAUCAAUUUAAUGCGUCACUGAUUUGAGUAAAGGCACGAGAGCAACUGUGUGUAUAUAAACUGUGGGUUUGCGCUGCGUUCUUCAGUUGGCAGUUACACACAGUUACACAUAGAGUAAAGCUACUGAGGACCAGCAAAAUCACCAUUUGUUUUCAUUUAUUCUUUCAGAAAUCUUGAUUAUGUAGGAAGGAUUCAAACACUGGACAACCGGCCAGACAGACCAGUUUCUUAGCCUUUCCACAAGAAUCCCAUGAUCCACUGUGUCGAAUGCAGUUAGGACUGAGGUUUUCAGUGAAGAUUUCAACAGAAGAAGAAGAAGAAGAAGAAGAGUCACUUGAUCAGACAUCUGGAGGAAGAGGGAAGACGCCACACCAGCUCCUGUAGAGGGAGGACUGUGGAUUUUGUCCCCCAUCACUUAUAUUGGAAGCACAUGAAGAAGAGAUAUUUAAAUGCGAAGGGGAAGCCGCUCUCCAGCUGCGUCUCCUCGGGGCCCCAGCAGCCAGACAGGAAGGAGUUUCUGAUGAAGACACGUUUCUUCAGACGAGGGUUCAGAUGAAGAGCGAUGUCGCUGCCGCCGGACACUCGCAGCUGCUCGUCUCUCACCUUGAACGUGUCCUUGAGGACGAGGAUGAUGAGUUCGAACGUGGCCCCGGCAGCGAAGGGCAUCUCG